UAUUUUUUUCUCAUUCUCUGCUCUACUUUGGAGCUGUGGAAAACCGAAGAGAAACAGGGCAAGAGAGAGAGAGAGAGAGAUAGAGACAGAGAGUUCAAGAGCUCAAGAUGGAGCUCACGGAUGAGGGGGACAGAAAAGAACGAGACUUGAUGAAGGGGGUGAAUAGAAUCGAGCUGGGAAGUGGUAAUAUAGAGCUGAAACAGUGGUGCCGACUGCAGAGGUGAAAUUCUACAGAAACGGAUAAAUGAACGGGUGCUUCGGGAGUCGAUCAAGAGAUAAGUUUCUAGCUGUGCGAGAGAACCAUUUAUGAUAUCGGGGAUCAGCUUGGAGAACUAGGUAAAGACCUUAGUUAUUUGAUAGCUAUUCUUUUUGUAUAGAUUGUAUUUGAAAAUGUGAUGACCUGAAACUUUUGUUUAGUUGGUUUAAUGAUGUAACUCUGCUAAAAUUAUAUUUAUAUAAAUAUAUAUGUGAGAGCUUACUGGAUUAGUUAUAUGUUUUUGAGAGUUAUGGAAAUCAUGUUUUAUAUGAA